rnacentral:rRNA from 1 species
UGAGGAAUAUUGGUCAAUGGGCGCAGGCCUGAACCAGCCAAGUAGCGUGAAGGAUGACUGCCCUAUGGGUUGUAAACUUCUUUUAUAUGGGAAUAAAGUUUUCCACGUGUGGAAUUUUGUAUGUACCAUAUGAAUAAGGAUCGGCUAACUCCGUGCCAGCAGCCGCGGUAAUACGGAGGAUCCGAGCGUUAUCCGGAUUUAUUGGGUUUAAAGGGAGCGUAGGUGGACAGUUAAGUCAGUUGUGAAAGUUUGCGGCUCAACCGUAAAAUUGCAGUUGAUACUGGCUGUCUUGAGUACAGUAGAGGUGGGCGGAAUUCGUGGUGUAGCGGUGAAAUGCUUAGAUAUCGCGCAGAACUCCGAUUGCGAAGGCAGCCUACCGGCUCCAGACUGACGCUGAGGCACGAAAGCGUGGGGUAUCGAACAGGAUUAGAUACC